rnacentral:rRNA from 1 species
GACGAACGCUGGCGGCGUGCUUAACACAUGCAAGUCGAACGGAAAGGCCCUGCUUUUGUGGGGUGCUCGAGUGGCGAACGGGUGAGUAACACGUGAGUAACCUGCCCUUGACUUUGGGAUAACUUCAGGAAACUGGGGCUAAUACCGGAUAGGAGCUCCUGCUGCAUGGUGGGGGUUGGAAAGUUUCGGCGGUUGGGGAUGGACUCGCGGCUUAUCAGCUUGUUGGUGGGGUAGUGGCUUACCAAGGCUUUGACGGGUAGCCGGCCUGAGAGGGUGACCGGCCACAAUGGGACUGAGAUACGGCCCAGACUCCUACGGGAGGCAGCAGGGGGGAAUAAUGCACAAUGGGCGGAAGCCUGAUGCAGCAACGCCGCGUGCGGGAUGACGGCCUUCGGGUUGUAAACCGCUUUCGCCUGUGACGAAGCGUGAGUGACGGUAAUGGGUAAAGAAGCACCGGCUAACUACGUG